GCGCUCCCGGCCGGCCGCAGGACAUCCCCGGCGCGGAGCCGCGGCCCGGGCCCGGCAGGAGCGCGGGCAGCGAGCGGCGCCGCCGGCCCCGCAAAGUUGUGCGUGCGCCUGCCGGGGGAAGGCGGGCAGCGGAGGGAGGGGGAAAACACCACCCCAAAGCGCUCCCACCGAUUUCCCAGCGCUAGACCUGCCUCCGAGAUCAGCCCAAUAAGAGCUGCCAGGGGAGGCUCCCGGCUCACUUUUCCACAUCGCUUCACACUUAGGUUUGGCAGGCAGGCACGGCAGCGCGCUCAGCCCGCAAUUAGCGGAUUUAUUUGGAAUAUCCCUGCUUUCCUGGAGACGGGCGGCUGCCGCUGGCUCGUGCGAAGGGAGAAAUUAAGAACUGCACGCCAGCAUGCAGGCGCAGAGAGCCGGGAAGCCCAGCAACCAGCGGCUCCGCCAGCACCGGCAGCCUCGGAAAGCAUGAGAAGAAAAUCUGGAGCGCCCUGCCCGUUCCCGGGGACCGGCUGAUGCUUUUUUACCUCAUCCUUUCAAUCCGCGCGUGAAGUGGCUGUGGGCGAGCGGCUCCCUUGCUCCUUGAAAGAGGUGAAUUUGGAAGCCUCACCUAUGGGUGGAUGACCAUGUAGGAUUGAUGGGAAGAUUUCUCCAGGUCCUCUCUUCGAAAUGGGGCUCACCAGCAAUUGCAGUUGCAGACUCUGGAUGAUGACCUUUUGGCUAUAUGGUGACAGCAUGUCUCAAGAUCUCUUUUGUCCCAGAGAGACCCAGAGGCUUACCAGCAGAAGCACGUUAGAAUUAUACUGUAUGAAGGGAGAAGUAUGCAUCAACUCCUGCUGCUUCUCAAGUCCUUUAAAAAAAGAAAAGUAGCACUUGGGAGAAGCUGACAAUGCCUCGGGGGCUGACCUUCAGGUGACUUUUUUGUCAACUGAUACAACAGCCCUGAGUUGGCAGGAUGAACAUUCAAGGAAACAUUCCCAUUGAAUGCAAAAGAAGGCAGACGUGAGUUUGUCUCUUUUUAUUGUUUGUAAAAAUACGUGAUUUUUAUACUUCCUAUGCUUAUGAUUUUGGGUUUUUUUUCUUUAAUGUGAUUUAAAAAACCCUUUCGAUGAAUCAAGGUUUUGCUUUUUUCUUUUAUAUAUCGAUUAUACCAAUUUUAGUCUGAAGCUCCCGUGACUCGCAUGACUUAAAAAAAGUCAACAAAGCUAUUUGAAGACGUGGUUUUAAAUAAUACAACAAAAGACAUAGCAAGACACUCUAUGCCAGAUCUUCCCAGAAUCAGUACAGAACCAGAUGUUGAAAACUAUGUAUUGCAAAACAAAAGCCUGAAAUCUACCCAUGGCUUUAGGGAUCAGUUUCAGCCUUACACCCAAUGGGAAAUAUGUGAACUUUCAUUCAAAAAAUGCUGAUUUUUUUUUUUUUUUGCACCAGACAAAUUUCUGUAAAACAUUAUUUGAAAUGUAAGCUAUUCAAUUCUACUAAUGUUUUAGUUUAAUUGCAAUUUACAAAAAGACAUUGGAAUUCUUGUCUUAUGAAACAGCCACAAACAGCAAUUGUCACCUGGUUGAAUAACUGUAAACGAGAAAAUUUACCAUGGAAAAGGAAAUAUCACGGGGAUACAAAAGUGAUUCUAAUCUGAGAAAAGCCUUAACGGAAAAGAAGCUUCAGUAUUUGAUUACCCCAAGUCUUUGAACUGAUCAGACAAAACACUCAAGAGAUUUUGUUAGCAUUGUGCAAAAAAGGUUUUGUGUUAAGUCAAAGUCACACAGUACCGACUAUUCAGGAACAAUUCUUUCCUAAACAAAGAGAAACAGCAAGUAUGCUAACAACUCGUUUUGCCACUGUGUGUUCUACUAAGUGCUUAGUAAUGAUGAGAAAAGACAGUGCACCUAGAUAGUGUCUGUGGUUUUCACUAUAUUGUUUUUGGGCGAAUUAGAGACCUGAAACAGAGUACUCCCUAUUUGCAUGAAACCGUGUCAAUAUUUCCUAUGGAAACCUGAAGUCAGUGCAACUCCGGCAGUUUCACUUGGAAAGAAACCAGUUCCAUGUAAACAAAUGCAGAGAAAUAGUGGGAUGGAGAAUACACAGAAGUCGUACCUGUUAAAGGAAGCAAUCUCAGAAGGCUGUGUUCUGAUUUAUUUUCAAGGAUUUCAAAGUAACUGACGAUACUUUAAAAAGUUGUGGACUGAUAAAAUUUUCAGCGU